GGAGGGGGGCUAGCGUUGUUCGGGAAUUACUGGGGCGUAAAGCGCGCGUAGGCGGGCUGGUUAGUUGGGGGGUGAAAUCCCGAGGGCUCAACCUCGGGAACUGCCCUCAAUACUGCCAGUCUUGAGUUCGAGAGAGGUGAGUGGAAUUCCUAGUGUAGAGGUGAAAUUCGUAGAUAUUAGGAAGAACACCAGUGGCGAAGGCGGCUCACUGGCUCGAUACUGACGCUGAGGCGCGAAAGCGUGGGGAGCAAACAGGAUUAGAUACCCUGGUAGUCCACGCCGUAAACGAUGGGUGCUAGUUGUCAGGCAGCUUGCUGUUUGGUGACGCAGCUAACGCGUUAAGCACCCCGCCUGGGGACUACGGUCGCAAGACUA
rnacentral:rRNA from 1 species